rnacentral:rRNA from 2 species
UGGGGGAUAUUGCACAAUGGAGGAAACUCUGAUGCAGCAACGCCGCGUGAGGGAAGAAGGUCUUCGGAUUGUAAACCUUUGUCCUUGGUGAAGAAAAAAAUGACGGUAGCCAAGGAGGAAGCCACGGCUAACUACGUGCCAGCAGCCGCGGUAAUACGUAGGUGGCAAGCGUUGUCCGGAUUUACUGGGUGUAAAGGGUGCGCAGGCGGGACUGCAAGUUGGAUGUGAAAUACCGAGGCUCAACCUCGGGGCUGCAUCCAAAACUGUGGUUCUUGAGUGAAGUAGAGGUAAGCGGAAUUCCGAGUGUAGCGGUGAAAUGCGUAGAUAUUCGGAGGAACACCAGUGGCGAAGGCGGCUUACUGGGCUUUAACUGACGCUGAGGCACGAAAGCAUGGGGAGCAAACAGG